rnacentral:rRNA from 1 species
UAGCAUAAUCAUUAGUCUUUUAAUUGGAGGCUCGUAUGAAUGGUUGGACAAAAAGCAAACUGUCUCAAUUAUAUUUAUUGAAUUUAACUUUUAAGUGAAAAGGCUUAAAUAAAUUAAGGGGACGAUAAGACCCUAUAAAGCUUUACAAUAAGUUACCUAUAUUAUAAAUUGUUAGUAUAACUUGAGUUUAGGUAACGUUUGUUGCGUUGGGGCGACGAGAAUAUAAUAAGUAACUGUUCUUAAGUUAUUUAAUGACAGAAAUUUCUGGAAAAUUAAUGAUCCUCUACUAGAGAUCAUAAGAUUAAGUUACUUUAGGGAUAACAGCGUAAUCUUCUUUGAGAGUCCACAUCGACAGGAAGGGUU